ensembl:lncRNA
GUCCAUUAUUAGAUUAUAUUGUCCACUCAGCAGUCUAACAGACCAUUAUUAGGCUCAGCACUGUAUUUCCUAUGUUGUAUGUGUAAUUCGUAAGAUUAGCCUAGUGAAGUACUAAGUUUUUAUCUAAUUGAGUGAUCCUGAAGAAAUUUUUGAAAAUGUUAAAUUUCAACUGAAUUUUUGCAGACAGCUAUGAAGAGGGCAGAAGGAAGGCUAAAGAGGCAGAGACCUGGUCAGACCUCCAGUCAGACGCAGAAAUGUCUGGACAGAAACCACCAAGGCGUAAAAUGUACAGAUAUUUGUUCAGCAUGUCACUAGUGCUAUUUCUUGAUGCAUUCAGGCUGUAUUUAAAGACCUGUUUUCCAGAUUUUUUUUAGAAUUAGCAAGAAGUUGCCAAUUUAGAAGUUUCCAUUUCAUUUUGAUUAAUUAAAUUUUUGUUUAAAAUAGGAAGAGUGUUCGAAUUGGCCCACCUGGAGGUUGCUUAAUGGACUCAGAGGAGGAAUCUGGCCCACCCCCAAGCAACUUCUUCCACCUGCCCCCACUGUAAACCUCCCUGUAGUCAUCCCAAACACCACUUUCACCCCUGUUCCCAUCACCACAUUGCCAGCAGCAGCAGCACCACCACCACAAGGGACAUAUACAGAGAUGCUGCAAAAUUGGCAGCCGAUGGACGAUGUGCCACCGCUGCGGAGUUGUCAGACGUUCAGAAUUGCCCCCAGCAAUCAUCAGAACCAGGUUGGUCCUUCAGUGAUUUCCACUCAGUCAUCUUACUUUUUAAGUUUAUCGUUUUUUUAAUAAGACUAAGGAUGACAUUGUACAGUUUUGUAGUGUGUAUUGUAAUUGUAAAAUAUUGUAAAUGUCUUUAA